AAAGCGCGAAAAACAGAGAGAGAAAAUGGAGGACAUUGCAAGUGAAAGAGAAAUAAGUGAAUCUGUCAAGCCAAAACUCGCAAUUCAAUGUGCUAAAUCUGCAAUCUUAUCUCAUCACUGAAAAACACUACUACUCUCAAGUCUACAAAUCUUAACCAAUACAAGAAUGAGGAGGAGAAUUUGAAAGACGUGUGGGAACUGAAGAUGGAGAUAUUGAAGCAGAAAUUGAAGAAUAAGAAGCUCAAACUAUGCAGCGCUACGGAGUUACUCAUUCAAGUUGUGGUUUUACUCUCUGUUUGGACUAUGCUUCUUUUGCUCGCCUUUAAUUGUUGAUUCAGUACUGUUGUUCGAUUCAAUAGUUCUUCAUUGAAGUGUUUUUGUUAAUUAGGAGUACGUGAGAACUGAGAUUUGAUCUAUGAAGUAGUGCAGAUUUUUGAAAUAAUUGCAUGAUUUUAUGGUUAA